rnacentral:rRNA from 1 species
UACGGAGGGGGCUAGCGUUGUUCGGAAUUACUGGGCGUAAAGCGUGCGUAGGCGGUUCGUUAUGUCUGCUGUGAAAGCCCCGGGCUUAACCUGGGAAUGGCAGUGGAAACUGGCGGGCUUGAGUGUGGCAGAGGGGGGUGGAAUUCCGCGUGUAGCAGUGAAAUGCGUAGAGAUGCGGAGGAACACCGAUGGCGAAGGCAGCCCCCUGGGCUGACACUGACGCUGAGGCACGAAAGCGUGGGGAGCAAACAGG